GCGGAGUGGCGGACGGGUGAGUAACACGUGGGGAACCUAUCCAUCAGCGGGGGAUAACACUUGGAAACAGGUGCUAAUACCGCAUACGGCUUUUUUUUCACCUGAAAGAAAGCUCAAAGGCGCUUUACAGCGUCGCUGAUGGCUGGCCCCGCGGUGCAUUAGCCAGUUGGUGAGGUAACGGCUCACCAAAGCAACGAUGCAUAGCCGACCUGAGAGGGUGAUCGGCCACACUGGGACUGAGACACGGCCCAGACUCCUACGGGAGGCAGCAGUAGGGAAUCUUCGGCAAUGGACGCAAGUCUGACCGAGCAACGCCGCGUGAGUGAAGAAGGUUUUCGGAUCGUAAAGCUCUGUUGUCAGCAAAGAACAGGAGAAAGAGGCAAUGCUUUUUCUAUGACGGUAGCUGACCAGAAAGCCACGGCUAACUACGUGCCAGCAGCCGCGGUAAUACGUAGGUGGCAAGCGUUGUCCGGAUUUAUUGGGCGUAAAGCGAGCGCAGGCGGUGAUUUAAGUCUGAUGUGAAAGCCCCCAGCUCAACUGGGGAGGGUCAUUGGAAACUGGAUCACUUGAGUG
rnacentral:rRNA from 1 species